rnacentral:rRNA from 1 species
UACAGAGGUCUCAAGCGUUGUUCGGAUUCAUUGGGCGUAAAGGGUGUGUAGGUGGCGCGCUAAGUCGGGUGUGAAAUUUCGGAGCUUAACUCCGAAACUGCAUUCGAUACUGGCGUGCUUGAGGACUGGAGAGGAGACUGGAAUUCAUGGUGUAGCAGUGAAAUGCGUAGAUAUCUGGAGGAACACCGGUGGCGAAGGCGGCAUCCUGGACCGACACUGACGCUGAUGCGCGAAAGCCAGGGGAGCAAACGGG